UGAAAUAAAUUAAAAGAAAAGGAAAAAAGAAAACGUAACAGAAGCUCAACGUAUCUCUCCCUCCCGGUAUCACUCUCUCUCACUCCACCGUUCAAACGCACUCUCUCUCACUAACCUCACUCACCCAUCGCUCUUCUGCGUCUCACUCUCCUGCGUCUCACUCUCUCUAACAAACUACCUCCAGAAGGAUUCAAGCCAAAAGAAAUCUCACCUUCGGUUACGGCGACGGUGAUGAUGGAGUUUGAAGCUUCGCUAUUUCGCCUCCCUCUCGGGUUUGCAGGAUGGCCCAUGGAGCUCAAAAGAGUAUCCUGCAAAACCCCCUUCUGGAUGGCCAGGCUUUGGUACCCCUAAUCGAUGCUUGUGUUGGAACAGUAAAAACAUUGAAGAUUCCAAAAGCAUGUCCGGUUUUGACCACAGCUCAGGUUGCAGUUUCGGUUGACAUGGUUGAUGGUCAUGGAAGCAUCAGAAUUCACCUUGGAAGAUAGAGAUUUCAAUUGUUCUAAAGCUUUAUGUAGACGGAACUUUUGAGUUUGAUUCAAUUGUAACUGAAUUCCUCCGGGUUUUUUUUAUGUUUCAGGAUGUUCCUGUGCUACAAAUGCCUCAACAAGCUUCUGCACAGUUUCGACGUCGUAAGCUGGACUCAAAUAUAUUCAGAGCCGGAACCCAUGUGCCGAGAAGAAUUUCAGUGUGGAGAUUGUUAAGGUAGAUCAGCUUUGACAAUGCUCUCAUCAACGGUUCAUUAUCCUGCAUAUGACCAGCUGUAUCAACAAGCACCACAUCCGAACCAUUACGAGAAGCUUCCUGAAUGGCCCAUUUUUGUUUUGCAACAGCUUAUAGCGAAAAUGCAACAUGUACCAAGCAUGGUCCUUGUGCUGCAGGUUUGAAGAUUUAAAAUCAGAACCACAGAGAUUAUCAUAUAAGCGGGGUAACAGCUGACCAGGUCGAGAAUACACGGUCCACUUCUUCGAGCCAAAAAAUUUGGCAGACAAAUACACAGUAAUUAUCAAAGUGACGGGCCAAAACCUUGCGAGUUAGGUGGUGUUAAGUACAAAUUGGCAUCUACAGAAGGUUGGUCAAACAAAAGUGCUAACGUAUCAGCAAUAGCAGCAAUAUCCGGAUACCGAAAUUUCAAACCACGCAGAGCAACUGUACAACCAUCUUUAUAAUCUUGCUCAUACUUUAAGAUAUCUUCAGUAGUUAAAUACAGAGGUUCUUUAAGGCUGUCCGGAUGAAAGUCCUGAAGGCCUUCUAAAACCAUUUUGCUUCUUCUUCAUGGUGUGAGGCGGGUUGUAUCGGAGAUUAAUACCGGCGCCGGCUAAUGAACAGCACAAGGUUCGGCUGGUUAUUCGGCAUUAAAAAUGCUUCACUUUUCACACAUGCCAAAAACUUGUAAUAUCUUCAUUAAUACCACUUCUUCCGAUCCUGGAUCAGUCACCUCAAAUCUACAACUUGUGACGGCAUCAAAUACCAAGUGCAUUCGUAACGACGUAGGACCCUUAGCCAUCUUCAUUCCUAACUCGUCGGCAACACGAAGUGCAACUAGUGUCGGUACUGCUGCAUCGAAAGCAUGGGCUUUUGUCAACUGCAGCAAAGGCAGCAAUGAGUGCGGUGACGGAAACCCGGUUGUUGUAAUUUUGUUGUGGUUGCUGCUGGAUAUUCUUACUGUCACGGUUGCUGCAGGAUAUUCUAGCUGUGACCUCGCUUCCAUCUGAUACAUAAUUGGAUAAAUCCGGAUGUUCAACUACAUAACUUGACUUCAACAUAUUGCAUCCAAAUUCCACAAGAAUAUCCUGUACUGCAUUCGAGAGAUUGCUUCCAUUUAUCAUUUUCAAUUGUUUGGAAGGUCUUGAAAGAAAUCCAGACGCGGAUGGUAAAAUUGGCCGAUCCCUAAAUAGUUGCAAUGUUCUGUCUGUUACUGCAAUCCACAUUCAAUUCUGAUAGCUUCCAACAGUUCAGGAGACACACUUGGCUUUCUUUUUCCAGCAAUCGAAAGCCUGCUUUUUUACUUCCUAUCACACACAUACGAAAAGAGUUUGGCAUGAACACUCUCGCUUGCAACUGCUGGAUAAUUAAACAAACUGCUUUUGGAACGGGGAACAAUGACGGCUGCGCAUCGGUGUUUGAAUGGAUCUUAUUUUUGGUUAUUCUUUUUUGUAAAAAUGAUCACAAAUAUUCGGAAUUCUCUUGAUCAUAUGCUCUUGUGUAGACCGUGCAAUAAUUUUAACUCUAUUCAUUUCGUUAACAAAUUACAUCUUUUCCAACCAAAUGAAAAACACUGUGUUGAAGUGUAA